GCAGGACUUGAGCUGGUCAGCAUCAGCAUUUUUUUCACUCAGUAUAAAGCGUGUGCCGAUUAUGUGGUGUUUUGUGUGUGUAAAUAAUAAAAAUAUCCCUCAAAUCCUUUCAGGACAAUGAGGCGACGACUUGUUCCGAUGGGACAUUUGGUACAAAGCGGUAUUUCACAUGUGAAGGAAACAAAGCCUUGUUUGUACCACUGACCAACUGCAAACCAGACAGCAGAUUUCUGUUCAUCCAGAAUGAGAUCCCAAAACCUCUUGAACCUCCCUCAGUCACACUCCUGGAAGAUUUAAAUGAAGAUGUUCCCCCUGUAGCAGAGCCAGACGUUUUGUCCCAUCUGAUUGGCAGAAUGAGGGGAAUCCAAGGUCACUUCAACUCCUGCUAUCUAGAUGCCACUCUCUUUAGUCUCUUCACAUCAUCUGUAGCUUUCAACAGAAUGUUUAACAGAUCAGCAGAUAGCGAGGAAGGCAUUUCACACAUUUUAAGACGGGACAUUGUGAACCGUUUACGCAGAACGGGUUUUGUUCCAGCAGAGAGUGUGAUGAAGUUUCGUAAACAGCUGGGCUGCAAAUCUUUUGCUACAGAGGAGAAAGGUAUUACUUAUCCCAUAGUGGCCAUUUACUUGUUGAU
ensembl:lncRNA